rnacentral:rRNA from 1 species
AUAUUGGUCAAUGGAUGCAAGUCUGAACCAGCCAUGCCGCGUGCAGGAAGAAGGCCUUCUGGGUUGUAAACUGCUUUUGCCGGGGGAUAAAAUUCCCAUGCGUGGGAAAUUGAAGGUAUCCGGUGAAUAAGACACGGCUAACUACGUGCCAGCAGCCGCGGUAAUACGUAGGUGUCGAGCGUUGUCCGGAUUUAUUGGGCGUAAAGCGCCCGCAGGCGGCUUGCCAAGUUCGAAGUGAAAUCUCCCGGCUUAACUGGGAGGGUGCUCCGAAAACUGGCAGGCUUGAGGCAUGGAGAGGGAUGCGGAAUUCCCGGUGUAGUGGUGAAAUGCGUAGAUAUCGGGAGGAACACCAGUGGCGAAGGCGGCAUCCUGGCCAUGUCCUGACGCUCAGGGGCGAAAGCGUGGGGAGCAAAC